GUACCAAAACUAGAAAUAAUCAGCUGGAUAGACUAAAUGACGGUUUCCCUAACUAAUAAUAUUAUUACUUAUAAAGAUAAAUUUCAAUAAGAUUUCAAAUUCCAGUUUACAACUAUAUGUCUAAAUUACGGUUAAAUAGUAGUUUUAAGCAAAAUAGACAUAAAAAUCACUGUUUUUUAAUGAAAUACGUAUAUAUUUACGACAUCAGUCAUCAGAAGGUAUAUGUUUUAAACUGGAAUUUUAGAUAUACACAUUAUGAAGAAAUGUGUGAAUUUUUAGAUCAUAAGAUGCACCAUGGAUGGAGUCUAUCUACGAGUUUGAUACAUCCGAAAGUUUCGUAAUCAUAGCAAGUAGGAGAAAAUCAAUAAAAAAAAAAUCGCCGUGAUUGGUAACAUUUAUUUAAUGAAAAAACUAUACGGGCAACAUUGUUUCACAAUACAAACUUUUUUGAUGAAAGUGUUCGUCAUCGGUUUUGUCCAGGCAGUAAAGAUAGCUGGUGUUUAUGGCAGGCUGGCAAAACAACAUGUCACACAACCUAUAAAAAUAACUUGAGUCUUCCAAUUACAAAUAAAGAUUUACUAAUGCCAGUUUGGCAUGACUUAUCAACAAAUUCAUUGUUGUUAAAAUGUUUGCAUGUCCAAACUUAAAAUAGAAACGAAUGCUUUAACAAUAUGGUGUGGAAAAAAUUUCCUACGGAGAUUUUUGUAUCUAGAAAACUUCUUGAAAUAGGUAUUUGCUCUGCCGUUAUUAAAUUUAAUGAUGGUAAAUCUGGUUUAACACCAAUAAUACAAGUACUUGGAUUGCCAGUUUCAAAGUUUAUGCUAAAUUCGUUUAGAAAAAGUGAUACAGACCGCAUAAAGAACAUUCAUAGAAAGUUAUCAACCAAAGGCAUAAUGAUGAGAAGAAAAUUAAGAGCUAUCGGAAAAGGGUUCCUGGAUAAAGAGAAGGAAAAUGACAUUAUACCAGCUAAUUCAGCAUGCUCAUAUUAAUAAAAUCAUAGUUUUUUUGUUA